ACCCGCACAAGCAGCGGAGCGUGUGGUUUAAUUCGUUGCUACACGAAGAACCUUACCUGGGUUUGACAUAUAGGUUGUAGGGAACUGAAAAGGGACCGACCCUUCGGGGAGCCUAUACAGGUGUUGCAUGGCUGUCGUCAGCUCGUGUCGUGAGAUGUUCGGUUAAGUCCGCUAACGAGCGCAACCCUCGUCGUAUGUUAUAUGUGUCAUACGAGACUGCCGGUAAAAGCCGGAGGGAGGUGAGGAUGAUGUCAAGUCAGCAUGACCUUUAUAUCCAGGGCUACACACACGCUACAAUGGUCUGUACAAUGGGUAGCCAAGCCGCGAGGUGGAGCCAAUCCUGAAAGCAGGCCUCAGUUCAGAUUGCAGUCUGCAACUCGACUGCAUGAAGCCGGAGUUGCUAGUAACCGCAGGUCAGCAAUACUGCGGUGAAUACGUUCCCGGGUCUU
rnacentral:rRNA from 1 species